AAGGAUCUCUACAUCUGCGUGUGAUGGCAUGUUUGGACACGUUGAUGCUGAAAGAUCCUUCAUUUCACUGCUUUGAACCUCAAAGACCACCAGCACCUAUGAAGCAUGACUGAAGGUAACGUUUCAUCUGAACCGCAUCUAUUGAUAGAACAGCGGCGUUGAAGAGCCACGAAAAAUAAAUAAAUGAGAAGUCGCAUUAUGACACAUUGUUUCUACGGGGAGAGAGGAGUCAAGAGGUGUGUGUGUUUAUUUUCACCACGGGGCAUGUUUGCCUGCGCAGAGAUCGAACAGAAUGGGGUAGUUAAGGAAAGCAGAAGCAAUGAAGGAUGGAGAAUGGCAUCAAAGACUAGGCCAUCAUUGAAGCUGCAUUCCUUGCCGAAACCUAAUGAGCGCCGAAAGCGCGCUCGAGCGGAAACAAUGCACCCACAGCCAGCUUCCGCCAGGAUAUUUCUCGCUGUUUAAAGUUUUGUUAUAUCAAUACACGAAUUUCGACUUUGUCUAGCUAAAGAAAGCUACGCUGAAAAUUAGAGAAAGUUUGUAGAUACGCUGCUCACACUAUUCAUUUCUAGCGUCUGCACAUAUGCCAUUUUCCUGUUUUUCUAAGCAUCCAAGCGUAACCAGACAACAAUGGACCCAUUUCUAUCAUUUGCCGUCCCUCCUCUUACGGCGGCAUUGAACGUAAUAAGCAAGUACAACCAGAGGAACGAGCUUUGACAGGCUGCCAGGACCCAACAUUCCCUGAGUAUGCCAGAAACGAAGUUAUUUUGGAUGUGGAAGUCGCAUUGUACAGCCAUUUCUGAACGGGAACUCGGGAUAAAGGAUUCUGCGAUGAGCAGGGUGGUAGUGAUUCUUGGUGCAACACUGCUUCUUGCAGCUCUGGUCUGCAAUGUCCAGGCGCAGUUCAUUGGAGGAUUUUUUCCUUGGUGGUGGUCGAGAUGGUGCAACGGAAUAUGGUGCCCCUUUGGAACUCGCUGUGUAUUUGGACUGUGCCUACAAUUUCCUUGCGUGCCUGUUAGUUAUUGUGCUCCAUUUUUCUAGGGAGCAGGAGGACGGAGUGGAUAACACGUGGUAAACAGCUACGUAAUCACGCUUCGAUUUGCCCAAAAGGAUGCAAGAAAUUCAGCGCAUCAUCAAGUAGGACGCGCUUAACGCGACCCUAUAGGGAGAAAUAUUCAGUUAUAUUGCCUAAGUAAAGUACGUCUCUGCAUAAGCAAAGCGGCCAUUCUGACCUUGCUUUAAGCUUGAUAAGCGAGAAAAGACUAAGACGAAAGGAUCGCCACCACGCAACCCUGAAGAUCCCGCAUUAGCUCGCCGUGACGUCCCUGACGUUGACAAGCUACUCGUAUGUAGUUAAGUCUUCAACGCUAAAGAAGGACUGCGUUGCCAUUAUAAAGUAACCUGAGACAUAACUUAGCCAGUUUGGAUAGCGUUUGAUGUGCCUGAAAGUCCGAGAAAAAUAAUUUGACAUCCAGGAUGUCACGUUGACAUGUUCACGGUUAGGCUUCGGCGCAAAAUAAAACCGUGAGACUUCGGCCUUGAGUUUAUUCCUCACCAAUCAAUUCUAUUAACCUAAUGAAUGCCAAUGAAAUAUUUUAAAGACUAAUUUAACGCUGCUUUUAGUGUCUCUUUGGAUCAAA